GACGAACGCUGGCGGCGUGCCUAAUACAUGCAAGUCGAACGCAGUGGGGACGGGUGAGUAACACGUGGGUAACCUCCCAUCAGAUGGGAUAACACUUGGAAACAGGUGCUAAACCUAUACUGAUUGAUGGACCCGCGGUGCAUUAGCUAGUUGGUGAGGUAACGGCUCACCAAGGCAACGAUGCAUAGCGGACCUGAGAGGGGGAUCAGCCACACUGGGACUGAGACAAGGCCCAGACGAAUACGGGAGGCAGCAGUGGGGAAUCGUAGGCAAUGGACGAAAGUCUGACCGAGAAACGCCGCGUGAGUGAAGAAGGUUUUCGGAUCGUAAAACUCUGUUGUUAGAGAAGAGGUAUCUAACGAGAAAGCCACGGCUAACUACGUGCCAGCAGCCGCGGUAAUUC
rnacentral:rRNA from 1 species